rnacentral:rRNA from 1 species
AGGGUUUGAUCAUGGCUCAGAUUGAACGCUGGCGGCAUGCUUUACACAUGCAAGUCGAACGGCAGCGCGGGGCAACCUGGCGGCGAGUGGCGAACGGGUGAGUAAUAUAUCGGAACGUACCCAAGAGUGGGGGAUAACGUAGCGAAAGUUACGCUAAUACCGCAUACGAUCCAAGGAUGAAAGCGGGGGAUCGCAAGACCUCGUGCUCCUGGAGCGGCCGAUAUCUGAUUAGCUAGUUGGUGAGGUAAAGGCUCACCAAGGCGACGAUCAGUAGCUGGUCUGAGAGGACGACCAGCCACACUGGAACUGAGACACGGUCCAGACUCCUACGGGAGGCAGCAGUGGGGAAUUUUGGACAAUGGGCGCAAGCCUGAUCCAGCAAUGCCGCGUGAGUGAAGAAGGCCUUCGGGUUGUAAAGCUCUUUUGUCAGGGAAGAAACGGUAGAGGCUAAUAUCCUUUGCUAAUGACGGUACCUGAAGAAUAAGCACCGGCUAACUACGUGCCAGCAGCCGCGGUAAUACGUAGGGUGCAAGCGUUAAUCGGAAUUACUGGGCGUAAAGCGUGCGCAGGCGGUUUUGUAAGUCUGUCGUGAAAGCCCCGGGCUCAACCUGGGAAUUGCGAUGGAGACUGCAAGGCUUGAAUCUGGCAGAGGGGGGUAGAAUUCCACGUGUAGCAGUGAAAUGCGUAGAGAUGUGGAGGAACACCGAUGGCGAAGGCAGCCCCCUGGGUCAAGAUUGACGCUCAUGCACGAAAGCGUGGGGAGCAAACAGGAUUAGAUACCCUGGUAGUCCACGCCCUAAACGAUGUCUACUAGUUGUCGGGUUUUAAUUAACUUGGUAACGCAGCUAACGCGUGAAGUAGACCGCCUGGGGAGUACGGUCGCAAGAUUAAAACUCAAAUGAAUUGACGG